rnacentral:rRNA from 1 species
UACGUAGGGGGCAAGCGUUGUCCGGAAUCAUUGGGCGUAAAGAGCGUGUAGGCGGCCCGGUAAGUCCGCCGUGAAAGUCCAGGGCUCAACCCUGGAAUGCCGGUGGAAACUGUCGGGCUGGAGUCCGGAAGAGGCGAGUGGAAUUCCUGGUGUAGCGGUGAAAUGCGCAGAUAUCAGGAGGAACACCGAUGGCGAAGGCAGCUCGCUGGGACGGUACUGACGCUGAGACGCGAAAGCGUGGGGAGCAAACAGG